CUCCGGGUGAUCCUGCCGGACCCGACUGCUAUCGGAUUGAGAUUUAGCCAUGCGAGUCGAACGUCCCCCUGUUGCGGGGGGCGUGGCGUACGGCUCAGUAACACGUAGUCAACCUGCCCUGGAGACAAGGACAACCCCGGGAAACUGGGAUUAAUCCUUGAUAGGUCAUCUCAUCUGGAAGGAGAGAUGGCUUAAAGGGGUACGCGGGCUUCUUCCGCGAAUCUGCUCCAGGAUGGGACUGCGUCCGAUCAGGCUGUUGGCGGGGUAAUGGCCCACCAAACCUGUAACCGGUACGGGCCUUGAGAGAGGUGGCCCGGAGAUGGACACUGAGAGAAGGGUCCAGGUCCUACGGGGCGCAGCAGGCGCGAAACCUUCGCAAUGCGCGAAAGCGUGACGAGGUUAAUCCGAGUGACUCCCGCUGAGGGGGUCUUUUGUCAGCUGUAAAUAGGCAGGCGAAUAAGGGGAGGGCAAGCCUGGUGUCAGCCGCCGCGGUAAUACCAGCUCCUCGAGUGGUCGGGGCGAUUAUUGGGCCUAAAGCAUCCGUAGCCGGUUCCGUAGGUCCUCUGUUAAAUCCAACCGCUUAACGGUUGACCUGCAGAGGAUACCGCGGGACUAGGAGGCGGGAGAGGCGGACGGUACUCCGCGUGUAGGGGUAAAAUCCUUUGAUCCGCGGAAGACCACCAGUGGCGAAGGCGGUCCGCCAGAACGCGCUCGACGGUGAGGGAUGAAAGCUGGGGGAGCGAACCGGAUUAGAUACCCGGGUAGUCCCAGCCGUAAACGAUGCUAGCUAGAUGAUUCAUUCGCAAGUCGCGAAUGAAGUGUCGCAGGGAAGCCGUUAAGCUAGCCGCCUGGGGAGUACGGUCGCAAGACUGAAACUUAAAGAAAUUGGCGGGGGAGCA
rnacentral:rRNA from 1 species